rnacentral:sRNA from 1 species
CUUAUCUGCAUGUGCGGAGUUCCAGUUGAGAGAGUUUCCCUGAACCGGAUGAAAACACACCGACUCUGGGACACUGGACAUGUCUGGAUAUGAUUGCGCUGGCCACACAAUACAGGGGAGAGGUCUCACUUCUGGAUUUGGUGUGAAGAGGCUGAUGGCAUCCACGAAUGCUAAAAACCAUCAAGUCUGUGGGGAGGCGACGUGGGCUCAGUCCCGUGUUUGGUGCUUGUUCAUCCUCACAGAGUUUGUUUAGAGACGUUACUUUCAUCUUUGAGUCCUCGAGCUUCCAAGCCCAUAAAAAGAAGGCCAACUAAUUCUUCCUCCGAGGGAUGCCUCGAAUACUGAAGGAGGUGAUACAGGAAGCACUUAGAUCAAGAAGGCCACAUGCAUCUGUCUCCCUUGCUGUCACUAUUAUUAUGUCUACUGCUAAGAGCUAUUCUUACAAUAUAAAAUGCAGAUU